AGAGUUUGAUCAUGGCUCAGGACGAACGCUGGCGGCGCGCUUAACACAUGCAAGUCGUGCGAUACCUCGAGCGAGUCUUACGACAAGCUCAAGGUAGGGCGGCGGACGGGUGAGUAACACGUGAGUAGCUGUCCUAAGGAGGGGGAUAACGCCUGGAAACGGGUGCUAAAACCCCAUAUGCCUCGCAAGAGGUGAAAGUGUAUUACUACAGCCUUAGGGUGUGCUCGCGGCCUAUCAGCUAGUUGGUGAGGUAAUGGCUCACCAAGGCUAAGACGGGUAGCCGGCCUGAGAGGGUGUACGGCCACACUGGAAUUGAGAUACGGUCCAGACUCCUACGGGAGGCAGCAGUGGGGAAUCUUGGGCAAUGGGCGAAAGCCUGACCCAGCGACGCCGCGUUGGGGAUGAAGCCCUUCGGGGUGUAAACCCAUGUUGUAGGGGACGAAGAAAGUGACGGCACCCUACGAGGAAGCCCCGGCUAACUACGUGCCAGCAGCCGCGGUAAGACGUAGGGGCGAGCGUUGUCCGGAAUUACUGGGCGUAAAGGGCACGCAGGCGGUGCGCCAAGUCGAGGGUGUAAAGUUACGGCUCACCGUGACAUUGCAUCGAUACUGGCGCGCUGGAGUGCGGGAGAGGGAAGUGGAAUUCCCGGUGUAGCGGUGAAAUGCGUAGAUAUCGGGAGGAACGCCAGUGGCGAAGCGGCUUCCUGGCCGCGACUGACGCUCAUGUGCGAAGCAGGGAGCGAACCGAUUAGAUACCCGGUAGUCCUGCGUAACGAUGGUGCUAGUGUAGCGCGUCAGCGUCUGU
rnacentral:rRNA from 1 species